AGAGUUUGAUCAUGGCUCAGAGUGAACGCUGGCGGCAGGCCUAAUACAUGCAAGUCGAACGGCAGCACAGCAGAGCUUGCUCUGUGGGUGGCGAGUGGCGGACGGGUGAGGAAUACGUGGGAAUCUGCCCAGUCGUGGGGGAUAACGUAGGGAAACUUACGCUAAUACCGCAUGCGUCCUUCGGGGGAAAGCCGGGACCUUCGGGCCUGGCGCGAUUGGAUGAGCCCACGUCGGAUUAGCUAGUUGGCGGGGUAAAGGCCCACCAAGGCGACGAUCCGUAGCUGGUCUGAGAGGAUGAUCAGCCACACUGGAACUGAGACACGGUCCAGACUCCUACGGGAGGCAGCAGUAGGGAAUAUUGGACAAUGGGCGCAAGCCUGAUCCAGCCAUGCCGCGUGAGUGAAGAAGGCCCUCGGGUUGUAAAGCUCUUUUGUCCGGAAAGAAAAGCGCCGGGUUAAUACCCUGGUGUCCUGACGGUACCGGAAGAAUAAGCACCGGCUAACUUCGUG
rnacentral:rRNA from 1 species